ACAGAGAUAACUCAAAAAAUGAUGGUGAAGAGUGUGUUAAAGGGGCUUAAAUUAACUAUUUGGGAUAAAUGCAGAUUACAUCAUUCUUUUCCAGACCUUAGCAUCUUGUAACCCAAUUCUCCCCAGCCGACAGCAAGACUGUUGGGAGAUUAAUAUGCUGCACUGCUGAGGAAAGAGAAAGCCUAUUACUAAGACAAGUCAACAAGACCAGGUGGUCAUGGGAGAAGCAUGAGAUGGAGCCUGUUAUUCUACCUUCCCUUUACCUGGACAAGUUUCAAUGCUGACCAUGUCACAUUCCCUCUCUUACUUCCUCCAAAGUAAAAGAGAGAAAUGACAACCUUUGACUUAAAGUUACCUAACUAAAGGGAAUUAUAGCUUCUAAAUGAAAGGAAGAUCUGCUCAUUAUCUCUGGGAUGGCAAAUACUGAUAUGAACUCCCAAGGGCCAUCCAGAAGUCAGACCCUGAAAGUCAUCAAGGAGAUAGUGGAAAUCUAUGCAAAAUAUGUGCCUUCCUGUCUCAGCUGGAGCAUCCAAGGACCUACAUUCUAAAUCAACAUUAUUGCUCCUACCUUCUACAUUGUAACAUCUCCUUCUUUCAGUCCACAGCCAUCUGGUUGCACACACUCCACCUUCAGAAUCAGAACCACAAAAUGUUUGCAGAACUUGUGGUUUUACAGAAAGUUGGCAGAGAGAUUGUUCUCCAUAGUGAUGGUAUCAAUUUCCCCACGUGGGAAAAAUGCCAGUUGCUAGUAACAAUAUCUGAUGCUAAGCAACCAGAGUGGUUCCAGGAGGCAGUUGGUGUCUGAAAAGAGCACCAAACAGGAAUCUGAAGAUACAGUUCUGGCCUUGAAUCUCCCCAACACUUCAGUGUGACCUCAGGAUUGACCACCAGGACAGGAAGGGAUUUAUCACAACCAGAUAAAACCAGGCAGCACAAUUCAAACACCUGGAAAAUUCUGCCUUAUCUUCCUAGCCCAUCCUUCAUUUAGACUUGUCCUGAGAACUAAACGUAAGUCAAUGCAAAUGUUAAAAGCAGAAAGGACGACACAGCUAAGAACCUGACCGAAAAUGUAAAAAGCUAAUCUUUCCAAAGACCGAAAUUCACCGUAUGUUUGGACUGUCUGGAUUAGAGUUUUCAAAGAGCUACGCUGAGCCCCAGAUUUCCUGAAAUCAUCCCAAGGGCCACCACAAAAAAAAAAAAAAAAAAAAAAAAAAAAAGGGAAGAAAGGGGACUUGGAAAGACCAUCUUAUACCCAAUUCCCACAUCACCCAAACACUGUCUCUUUAAAAGAUUCUGUGUGGGGGCUUCUACCAAGACCUGCACUUAAAGCCUGGAGGCUCAGAGAGGAAACCGAAUCCUCGAGAAAGCCUGAGAUGCCCCUACCUCCCAGGAUGCUCUGAUUUUAUAAAUCAGGCUGGUACUUUUCCUAGCGUAAAAGAUAAGCGUCAUGCUCCCAUCCAGCAUUGCAGUUUACGGGGCUUCAAUAAGGGAUUUGCUGUUAUCUAUCUAGCCGGUACCUUCACACCCUACGUGCAAGAUCACGACACCAGUAGAGGAGAUCAAAAGAGACCCGACAUAACUUUGAUUCUACGCUGCUCAGUCUGACAUAAUGAUACUGCUGGUGCUGCGGUCCCACUGAAGCCCAUCUUCUCUGGACCACCGGCACCCGACAUGCUCUGACAAUGUUCUAAAUGAGCGGAUUCAAGCUCUCUCUUCUCGGGUGCAGGUACCUCUCCUUAAGAUGUUCACUCAAGUGAAGAUAAAAUCCACCUGAAUAGCAGACAUGCAAUCAAGCAACACAGUCCCUCUACAGAUGCCAUACUGUUUGCUACUCAGUGUCCUAAAAGUUCCACGAGAUCUGUUAUACAACUGAGGCACCUAAGGGUGCGAGAGGGUGAGUGACGUAGCAGAACCAGUUUCCCCACUUCCGUCCACAUCUUUUACCCUCUCUUUCAGGGUUUUAUUUGCCCUUCUCUGUGUCUCCCAUUUGUUUCUAGUACUCUGGCCAGAGAGAAGAUAUAUAUUAUAGGAUAUAAUAUUUAUGUGUGUACCUAUACAUGUAUGCAUACACAUAUGUAGGUAUAUUUGUGUGUGUGUAUAUAAUAUAUAGA